rnacentral:rRNA from 1 species
CGUCUAUAUACGUAUAGCAUAUCAAUAAGCGGAGGAAAAGAAACUAACAAGGAUUCCCUUAGUAACGGCGAGUGAAGCGGGAAGAGCUCAAAUUUGAAAUCUUCAAGGUUCUACCUUGACGAAUUGUAGUUUAAAGAAGUGUUUUCUGUUAGAGGAGUAGGCAAAAGUUCCUUGGAAUAGGGACAUCAUAGAGGGUGAGAAUCCCGUAUUUGGUUAUUCUUUCUAGCUGUGUGAUACACUUUCAAAGAGUCGGAUUGUUUGGGAAUGCAGUCCAAAAUGGGUGGUAAAUUUCAUCUAAAGCUAAAUAUUGGCGAGAGACCGAUAGCGAACAAGUACCGUGAGGGAAAGAUGAAAAGAACUUUGAAAAGAGAGUUAAACAGUACGUGAAAUUGUCAAAAGGGAAGCGUUUGACACCAGUGUUGUUUUUCCGAAAAUCAAUUGUGCCUGGCUGGAUUUUGUAGGAGUUUGACCUUAUCAGCUUCUUCUGCUUUUUUCCUGUCCUGGUGCAAUGCACUUUUCGGUUAACAAGUCAACAUCAAUUUCUUUUGUUGUAAAAGGGUAAUUUGGAAGGUGGCUUUCUUUUCGGAGAAAGUGUUUAUAGCCUUAUACCUCUACAAUCGGAGAGAUUGAGGUCUGCAGCGUAGAUCCUUCGGGGCUAGAUACACUUGUGCUAAGUUAUAGCGGUUCAUAGACAACUUGUUGACUAUAGUUAGGUCGUCAUGUAGCUUACUCGCUUGUGCUAUUUUACCUACGCUUAGGAUGUUGAGUCAUCACACAUCUCU